GGCGAUUUAGUGUAGAGGCCUAGCACGCCGCCCUCUCACGGCGGAAACCCGGGUUCGAAUCCCGGAUUCGCUACAA
rnacentral:tRNA from 1 species